AUUGAACGCUGGCGGCAUGCCUUACACAUGCAAGUCGAACGGUAACAGAUCUUCGGAUGCUGACGAGUGGCGAACGGGUGAGUAAUACAUCGGAACGUGCCUAGUAGUGGGGGAUAACUACUCGAAAGAGUGGCUAAUACCGCAUGAGAUCUACGGAUGGAAGCAGGGGAUCGCAAGACCUUGUGCUACUAGAGCGGCCGAUGGCAGAUUAGGUAGUUGGUGGGAUAAAAGCUUACCAAGCCGACGAUCUGUAGCUGGUCUGAGAGGACGAUCAGCCACACUGGGACUGAGACACGGCCCAGACUCCUACGGGAGGCAGCAGUGGGGAAUUUUGGACAAUGGGCGCAAGCCUGAUCCAGCAAUGCCGCGUGCAGGAUGAAGGCCUUCGGGUUGUAAACCGCUUUUGUACGGAACGAAAAGCCCUGGGUUAAUACCCUGGGGUCAUGACGGUACCGUAAGAAUAAGCACCGGCUAACUACGUGCCAGCCGCCGCAGUAACAC
rnacentral:rRNA from 1 species